rnacentral:rRNA from 1 species
AUAAGAUCCCUCAAAGAUGAUGAGGUUAAUAGGUUCGAGGUGGAAGCAUGGUGACAUGUGGAGCUGACGAAUACUAAUCGAUCGAAGACUUCUUGAGUGGAUCCUGAGUACGACGGAGCACGUGAAAUUCCGUCGGAAUCUGGGAGGACCAUCUCCUAAGGCUAAAUACUCUCUAGUGACCGAUAGUGAACCAGUACCGUGAGGGAAAGGUGAAAAGCACCCCGGAAGGGGAGUGAAAUAGAACCUGAAACCGUGUGCUUACAAGUAGUCAGAGCCCGUUAAUGGGUGAUGGCGUGCCUUUUGUAGAAUGAACCGGCGAGUUACGAUUUGAUGCAAGGUUAAGCAGUAAAUGUGGAGCCGUAGCGAAAGCGAGUCUGAAUAGGGCGUUUAGUAUUUGGUCGUAGACCCGAAACCAGGUGAUCUACCCUUGGUCAGGUUGAAGUUCAGGUAACACUGAAUGGAGGACCGAACCGACUUACGUUGAAAAGUGAGCGGAUGAACUGAGGGUAGCGGAGAAAUUCCAAUCGAACCUGGAGAUAGCUGGUUCUCUCCGAAAUAGCUUUAGGGCUAGCCUCAAGUGAUGAUUAUUGGAGGUAGAGCACUGUUUGGACGAGGGGCCCCUCUCGGGUUACCGAAUUCAGACAAACUCCGAAUGCCAAUUAAUUUAACUUGGGAGUCAGAACAUGGGUGAUAAGGUCCGUGUUCGAAAGGGAAACAGCCCAGACCACCAGCUAAGGUCCCAAAAUAUAUGUUAAGUGGAAAAGGAUGUGGCGUUGCCCAGACAACUAGGAUGUUGGCUUAGAAGCAGCCAUCAUUUAAAGAGUGCGUAAUAGCUCACUAGUCGAGUGACACUGCGCCGAAAAUGUACCGGGGCUAAACAUAUUACCGAAGCUGUGGAUUGUCCUUUGGACAAUGGUAGGAGAGCGUUCUAAGGGCGUUGAAGCAUGAUCGUAAGGACAUGUGGAGCGCUUAGAAGUGAGAAUGCCGGUGUGAGUAGCGAAAGACGGGUGAGAAUCCCGUCCACCGAUUGACUAAGGUUUCCAGAGGAAGGCUCGUCCGCUCUGGGUUAGUCGGGUCCUAAGCUGAGGCCGACAGGCGUAGGCGAUGGAUAACAGGUUGAUAUUCCUGUACCACCUAUAAUCGUUUUAAUCGAUGGGGGGACGCAGUAGGAUAGGCGAAGCGUGCGAUUGGAUUGCACGUCUAAGCAGUAAGGCUGAGUAUUAGGCAAAUCCGGUACUCGUUAAGGCUGAGCUGUGAUGGGGAGAAGACAUUGAGUCUUCGAGUCGUUGAUUUCACACUGCCGAGAAAAGCCUCUAGAUAGAAAAUAGGUGCCCGUACCGCAAACCGACACAGGUAGUCAAGAUGAGAAUUCUAAGGUGAGCGAGCGAACUCUCGUUAAGGAACUCGGCAAAAUGACCCCGUAACUUCGGGAGAAGGGGUGCUCUUUAGGGUUAACGCCCAGAAGAGCCGCAGUGAAUAGGCCCAAGCGACUGUUUAUCAAAAACACAGGUCUCUGCUAAACCGUAAGGUGAUGUAUAGGGGCUGACGCCUGCCCGGUGCUGGAAGGUUAAGAGGAGUGGUUAGCUUCUGCGAAGCUACGAAUCGAAGCCCCAGUAAACGGCGGCCGUAACUAUAACGGUCCUAAGGUAGCGAAAUUCCUUGUCGGGUAAGUUCCGACCCGCACGAAAGGCGUAACGAUUUGGGCACUGUCUCAACGAGAGACUCGGUGAAAUCAUAGUACCUGUGAAGAUGCAGGUUACCCGCGACAGGACGGAAAGACCCCGUGGAGCUUUACUGUAGCCUGAUAUUGAAAUUCGGCACAGCUUGUACAGGAUAGGUAGGAGCCUUUGAAACGUGAGCGCUAGCUUACGUGGAGGCGCUGGUGGGAUACUACCCUAGCUGUGUUGGCUUUCUAACCCGCACCACUUAUCGUGGUGGGAGACAGUGUCAGGCGGGCAGUUUGACUGGGGCGGUCGCCUCCUAAAAGGUAACGGAGGCGCUCAAAGGUUCCCUCAGAAUGGUUGGAAAUCAUUCAUAGAGUGUAAAGGCAUAAGGGAGCUUGACUGCGAGACCUACAAGUCGAGCAGGGUCGAAAGACGGACUUAGUGAUCCGGUGGUUCCGCAUGGAAGGGCCAUCGCUCAACGGAUAAAAGCUACCCCGGGGAUAACAGGCUUAUCUCCCCCAAGAGUUCACAUCGACGGGGAGGUUUGGCACCUCGAUGUCGGCUCAUCGCAUCCUGGGGCUGUAGUCGGUCCCAAGGGUUGGGCUGUUCGCCCAUUAAAGCGGUACGCGAGCUGGGUUCAGAACGUCGUGAGACAGUUCGGUCCCUAUCCGUCGUGGGCGUAGGAAAUUUGAGAGGAGCUGUCCUUAGUACGAGAGGACCGGGAUGGACAUACCUCUGGUGUACCAGUUGUCGUGCCAACGGCAUAGCUGGGUAGCUAUGUGUGGACGGGAUAAGUGCUGAAAGCAUCUAAGCAUGAAGCCCCCCUCAAGAUGAGAUUUCCCAACUUCGGUUAUAAGAUCCCUCAAAGAUGAUGAGGUUAAUAGGUUCGAGGUGGAAGCAUGGUGACAUGUGGAGCUGACGAAUACUAAUCGAUCGAAGACUUAAUCAA